UACGUAGGGUGCAAGCGUUGUUCGGAUUUACUGGGCGUAAAGGGCGCGUAGGCGGCGCAACAAGUCACUUGUGUAAUCUCCGGGCUUAACCCGGAGCGGCCAAGUGAAACUGUCAUGCUAGAGUGCAGAAGGGGCAAUCGGAAUUCUUGGUGUAGCGGUGAAAUGCGUAGAUAUCAAGUGGAACACCAGUGGCGAAGGCGAAUCCCUGGAAAAUACCUGACACUGAGGCACGAAAGCUAGGGGAGCAAACAGG
rnacentral:rRNA from 1 species